rnacentral:rRNA from 1 species
GAUGAACGCUGGCGGCGUGCUUAACACAUGCAAGUCGAACGAUGAAGCCCAGCUUGCUGGGUGGAUUAGUGGCGAACGGGUGAGUAACACGUGAGUAACCUGCCCUUAACUCUGGGAUAAGCCUGGGAAACUGGGUCUAAUACCGGAUAGGAGCGCCUACCGCAUGGUGGGUGUUGGAAAGAUUUAUCGGUUUUGGAUGGACUCGCGGCCUAUCAGCUUGUUGGGGGGGUAGGGGCUCACCAAGGCGACGACGGGUAGCCGGCCUGAGAGGGUGACCGGACCACGGGGAAUUGGAACAGGGCCCAAGCUCCUACGGGAGGCAGCGGGGGGGAAUUUGGCAAAAGGGGGGAAAGCCUGAUGCAGCAACGCCGGGGGGGGGAUGACGGCCUUCGGGUUGUAAACCGCUUUCAGGGGGAAAGAAGCGAAAGUGACGGUAACGGGAAAAGAAGCACCGGCCAACUACGU